rnacentral:rRNA from 1 species
ACUCCUACGGGAGGCAGCAGUGGGGAAUUUUGGACAAUGGGGGCAACCCUGAUCCAGCAAUGCCGCGUGAGUGAAGAAGGCCUUCGGGUUGUAAAGCUCUUUUGUCAGGGAAGAAACGGUGGUGGCGAAUAACUACUACUAAUGACGGUACCUGAAGAAUAAGCACCGGCUAACUACGUGCCAGCAGCCGCGGUAAUACGUAGGGUGCAAGCGUUAAUCGGAAUUACUGGGCGUAAAGCGUGCGCAGGCGGUUGUGUAAGUCAGAUGUGAAAUCCCCGGGCUCAACCUGGGAAUUGCAUUUGAGACUGCACGGCUAGAGUGUGUCAGAGGGGGGUAGAAUUCCACGUGUAGCAGUGAAAUGCGUAGAUAUGUGGAGGAAUACCGAUGGCGAAGGCAGCCCCCUGGGAUAACACUGACGCUCAUGCACGAAAGCGUGGGGAGCAAACAGGAUUAGAUACCCGGGUAGUCC